GGAUGAAGAACGUAGCAAAAUGCGAUACUUGGUGUGAAUUGCAGAAUCCCGUGAACCAUCGAGUUUUUGAACGCAAGUUGCGCCCGAAGCCUUUUGGCCGAGGGCACGUCUGCCUGGGCGUCACGCAUCGCGUCGCCCCCCACAAUUCUCCGUAAAGGGAACAUGUGUUUUGGGGGCGGAUAUUGGUCUCCCGUGCUCAUGGCGUGGUUGGCCGAAAUAGGAGUCCUUUCGAUGGACGCACGAACUAGUGGUGGUCGUAAAAACCCUCGUCUUUUGUUUCGUGCUGUUGCUCGCAAGGUAAACUCUUUAAAAACCCCAAUGUGUCGUCUCUUGACGACGCUUCGACCGCGACCCCAGGUCAGGCGGGACUACCCGCUGAGUUUAAGCAUAUCAAUAAGCGGAGGA
rnacentral:misc_RNA from 1 species